rnacentral:lncRNA from 1 species
AUAGCAAUGAUAGGGAUCGAGUUGUUGAGGCAAGGGAUGAGUUGCAUAGGAUGUUGAAUGAGGUAAAUUUCCAUUAUACAUGCUUCAUAUUUUUCACCUCAACGUUUAUGCUAAAUCUCCUGACAUGACAUCAUAUGGCACCUAAUUGAGAUGAUUGAUGCUGUCUGCCUCUUGGUUGUUUGGUAACAGGGGAUAUUUUGUUUUUGCAUGACACAGAUCUUAUAUUUCUUUGCCUCUAGAAUAUAUGGAUAUAUUUACUUCCUUCUACACAUUAAAGUUUAUCAUGAAUAAUGAGUCAAGAGGGGCUUUAUUUGAUCUAUAUAGAUAUCUCUAGUUUUAGUUUCAGAAAAUCCCUUCUAUUUUCACUUUGUUGGGUUUUCAUUUUUUGUUUUUUUUCCUUUCUAGUCUAGGGAACUGAUAUCGGAGAACCUUUCUGUCACUUCUCUUGUACUUCUAAUAGAACUCUGGUAGAAAUUCAAGCAAAUGAAUCAUAAAUCUUCCUAAAAAUGAAGUGGAGUUUUUGUUGGGUAUUUUGGUAAUUGUGGGCUACAUAUUAACAUUGUACAUUAAGUUAUCUUAUUUUAACCUAAUUAAAUGUGAUCAAUUAAGUUAUUUCUUGGGCUUUUAAAACAUCUCUUAUAUACAUUGCAUGGACUUUAUAAUGUAUAGAGACCAAUUUUAUUUUAUUUAUUAAUGAUGAACCAAUAAAUAAAAUAAAAAUAAUAAGGGGUAUAAAAUGGGUUAUGGUCCACAGUCUAAACAAGGAGAAAAAUUUGCAUAUUGUUCACAUCCCAUUAGUGAGUGAUGUGAGGAUUCCCUGCAACACUCGUUGCAAUACUUCUUUUAGACGUGGAAGACAAUACCCAAGUACAACAUCUCAAUGGAUUCAAGUAUGUCUUUCGAUAUUGUUAUCCUAUCAAUUUAGCAUAAGAUUCUAGCAUAUAUAUCAUCUAGAUACUGCUAUCCACAACAAUUUAGAAAAACAGGGGUGGAUAAAUGAAUGGAAAUCAAAAUUUAAAAACUCCACCCACCAUGAAACACCUUUAAUUAAAAAAUAAAAUAAAAAUCUAAUCCCAAUAGAUUUAACAAAGUGGCUCUAAUACCACUUGUUGGAGAACCAUGAAUCAUAUAGAAUGAUGAUAAAAACUGUCAUCUAGAUAAAUAACAAAACUUUAUUCCAUGGAUAGAUAAUAAAAUCUGAUGGUCCUGAUCUCAUCCAAAAAACAAUCUAGAUGAUAAAUAUGUCAGAAUCUCAUGCUAAAUCAAUAAUAAUAUCGGAAGACGUACUUGGAUCCAUUGAGAUGUUGUACUUGGGUUUUGUCUUCCAUGUCUGAAACGAGUAUUGCAGGGAAUUCUCAAAUCAUUCACUGAUGGAAUGUAAAUAAUAUGCAAAUUUUUCUCCUCAUUUAGACUAGGGAUCAUAACCCAUUUUAUACCUCCUAUUAUUUUUAUUUUAUUUAUUGACCCAUCAUUAAUAAAUAAAAUAAAAUAAAAUUAGUCUCUACACAUUGUAAAACCCAUACAAUGUAUAUAAGAGAUGUUUUUAAAAGCCCAAGAAUUAACUUAAUUGAUCACAUUUAAUUAGACUAAAAUAAGAUAGCUUAAUGUACAAUGUUAAUAUGUAGGCCCACAAUUACCAAAGUACCCAACAGUUUAUCCACUAAUUAGAACAUUUGACCAAUUUAUUUUAUCACAACUCAAACUGAAACUAUUUGGCCUUCAGUUCAGGAAUUGGAGAUACUGGUUACUGCUGUUUACUGGGGCUUCAGAUUCUCUUUGUUAUGUUACAUGGCUUUUAGGAGAUACUAUUUUAUUUAUUUAUUUAUUUAUUAUUAUUAUUAUUUAUUUUUAUUUUCUGAUAAGUGGCUUUUAGGAGAUACUAUUUUGUCCAGCCAUAUCAUAUAAUCGUAUUUCUUGUUGGUUAAGUAGGAUCAAGGGGAUCGGUUACUUGAGAUAUUGCUACUAGGAUUGAAAUGUUGUGCUUGAAUCUGGUUUCAGGAUGAACUGAGGGAUUCUGUUUUACUGGUAUUUGCUAACAAACAAGAUCUUCCUAAUGCAAUGAAUGCUGCAGAAAUAACUGACAAGCUCGGUCUCCAUUCUCUUCGCCAACGCCACUGGUAAAAUUCCAUUUUUGGUUUUUUUGCACUGCAAUAAGCUAUCUUUCCAUAAUCACCCUGCUGUUCUAUAAAACCAUUACUUCAAGAAAUAUCAGGGGACAUGCUGAACUGGUUGUCUGAAAUUUGGCCCAAUUCUUACUGAAAUCACUUUUCCUCCUUGGGGGCACGUUUCCCCCUUGAUUUGUCUUAGGCAAAAAAAUUCAGGAUCUUUGUUCUCCUUUAUACUAGUUGGACAACCUUGGACUCAAUAACUGAAUAUUUGAAAUGAAUUGUUUCUUGAAAUUCGAUCAGAUCUAGAAAAAGGUGCCAUUUUGCACAAAGAAUAGUGGUUUGAACUCUAC